UUAAUAGCGGCGUUGUUUGACGUUAGCGACAGAAGAAAGCACCGGCUAACUCCGUGCCAGCAGCCGCGGUAAUACGGAGGGUGCGAGCGUUAAUCGGAAUUACUGGGCGUAAAGACGCAUGCAGGUGGUUUGUUAAGUUCAGAUGUGAAAGACCCGGGGCGUCAACCUACCGGAAGUUGCAUUUGUAAACUAGGCAGACUAGAGUACUGUAGAGGGGGGUAGGAAUUUCUAGGUGUAGCGGUGAAAUAGCGUAGAGAUCUGAAGGAAUACCGGUGGCGAAGGCGGCCCCCUCGGACAGAUACUGACACUCAGAUGCGAAAGCGUGGGGAGCAAACAGGAUUAGAUACCCUGGUAG
rnacentral:rRNA from 1 species